GUGUCAGCAGCCGCGGUAAUACGUAGGUGGCAAGCAUUAUCCGGAUUUACUGGGCGUAAAGGGUGCGUAGGCGGAUUUUUAAGUGAGAUGUGAAAUACCCGGGCUUAACCUGGGGGCUGCAUUUCAAACUGGAAAUCUAGAGUGCAGGAGAGGAAAGUGGAAUUCCUAGUGUAGCGGUGAAAUGCGUAGAGAUUAGGAAGAACACCAGUGGCGAAGGCGACUUUCUGGACUGUAACUGACGCUGAGGCACGAAAGCGUGGGGAGCAAACAGGAUUAGAUACCCUGGUAGUCCACGCCGUAAACGAUGGAUACUAGGUGUGGGAGGUUUAACUCCUUCCGUGCCGCCGUUAACACAUUAAGUAUCCCGCCUGGGGAGUACGGUCGCAAGAUUAAA
rnacentral:rRNA from 1 species